CUUUCGUGUCGCCCCAAAUCGAAAAGACCCCAGCACAUGCACAUUUAAUGCCAAAAUAUCUGGAGGCAGUUGUGCGCAGCAUUCGAGGGGACAAUUUCGGCUAUGCCAAUCUCUCUGUACUUCCUUCAUUCGAAAUUCAAACUCGAAAGUAGGGGGACUGGUGUUGGGUAUAAAAUACCCACGGUCGAAGUUCUCAGCGGGAUUGACCCUUGCGGGCUCCAUCCACGACUCCAAGGAAGACUCUGCCCGAACUCCUACGGGAGCCGGGCUCCAUCCACGACUCCAAGGAAGACUCCGCCCGGACUCCUACGGGAGCCGGGCUCCAUCCACGACUCCAAGAGAGACUUUGCCCGGACUCCUACGAGAGCCGGGCUCCGUCGCCAACUUCAACUGCCGGUAAGCUCCAUCCGGACUCCUACGGGAGCCGAACUUCGCACCUGACUUUAAUUGCAGGAGGAUUCCGCCCGGACUCCUACGGGAG
rnacentral:lncRNA from 1 species